rnacentral:lncRNA from 1 species
GAGAAUAAUUCUUUCCUAAUGGGGCUGAAGAAUUAAUUUAGAAAUUAUGUUGAAAGGUACUGACUGCAGAGAAAGUAGUUAAUAAGCAUUCUUCACCAACUCCCACAGCUCUGGUCUCAUUGAUACAUCAAGAACAUAACCUUUUCUUCCUCCAAAUGAUUGUGUUAUAAAAAGAUGAAAAUAACUAUAUAAUAUGCAAAAGCAUCUGGCAGAGCUACAUGUUUUAGUGACUUUAUAGCAUUAAGGAGUUAGCAUAGAGACAGACUUGACUUCCUAAUCAAACAAUUCAUCCACUAUGGCAAACUGUCGUUAUUGAUCUCAUGCAUUCAGUGCUCCCGUUCCUGUCAAAAUUUUAACUUCUCUUUGAAAAAAUGAUUACACUUAAUUUCAGAAGAGUUUGACAGACUGUCUUAUGUCUGAGGAGCAAUCGGCAUUGUUUGGGACAGCGAGAAGAGCUGACUUCAUUACCUUCUCACCACUGCAACAGCAGGGUCCAAGGAAACAAGCCAGGGAGAACUGCUCGUCACUCAGUCCUUGGCAUAGGGUUCGUCUUUUUGGUGAUCCCACUGAGUGAAUCUGCAUUGGUUGACAAGUCUCCUCUGCAGACAUUUUUUAGAUGAAAAAAGCUAUUUUGAAAUAUUUUAAGAGCCUGGAGGCAAAAGCAAAUUUUAAAAUUGCCUCUCUCCCCUCCCCAUCUUCUGAUUACCCAGGAAGGAGAAGUGUUAUCUGUGUAAGUCCCUGGUUCCACUUGGGGAGUAUCAGUGUCAUGUAGAGACCUGUCUCCAGCUUGCAAAUGUUGACAGAGAAAAUGGGACUGAAGGGAUGAGGAGACCAAGAGUGUGUGCACCUGUGGAGGGGAAACCGAAGCAGCGACUGAGGAAGUCAAAGGAAAAAGGUCAUAGUCAAGGCCGACUUCUCAGUCUCUUGGAGCAGUCUGAGCACAGGACCACAGGUGUAGAGAGAACCCCCAAGUGUUCCGAAGCAGGAGCCUUCAGGUAAGCUGAGGAUGCCCUCACCAGAUGUGGAAGAGGCUGGCUGCAGCAGAGAGAGGCAGAGUUCGCUCUCAAAGCUCAACUUAAAUGAGUCUCCCAUCAAGUCUUUUGUUCCUGUUUCAGAAGCUACAAAUUGCUUAGUGGACUUUAAAGGCCAAUUUGCUUUCCGGUCACAAACCAAAUCAGGCAGAGGAAGGAGGAGAAAAUCUUGAAUUUCUUGAGACUGGAGGAUGACCAGAAUGAUUGUUGUUGGAUUGGUCAUGUUCAUUAAUUAUUGUGGUCUCCAGUUUGCUGUGAGAGUUCUGACCCUGUUGUUUUCACCACCAGCGUCUGUUCAGCACCCUGAUUUUUAUGUUUUAUAAGAUCUCUUCAGACAACUGUGAAUAGUAUUCUGUUUUACAACAGUCUGUUUGAAUUUGCUUAUAGUUAAAAUUUAAAUAUAUUUAUCUUUGUAUGAAAUCUUUUUUCAAUA